CUUCCAGACACAUCGGAACUUAUCUACACCUCUCAUCUUUGUUCACAGAUUACACUCCCAGAGAUGGAUCGGUUAGGAGAAAGAUGAUACCCACUCUUUUGGCAGCACUCGGCUGCUGGUUUGCUAAAGAGGGCGGAGAGGAUAAAACGAAGUCGAUGGCCCAGUUCUGCCUGACGGUCAACAAAUUCUAUCGCUGCUUCACAAUUUCCCUCUUUCAUCGUUUAUCAUUACUUCAAAUAUCUGGAUUUCAGCAGCUGACUAUAAACGAGUAAACAGUGAAGUUACAAAUUGUGAGUUUCCGUAUGGAUUGUUCAGCUAUGUCUUCGAGAAUAAACACAAACCGGAAACAAAUAUGUCGUCGUUAUAUCAUUUCAAGACAAAGCACUGACUAGAUAGGAAAGUAGACAGAUGUACAAAUGAGAUGUUCCCAUAUAAUUAUGUUUCAAAGAAUGGA